CAGCAGCCACGGGAAAACGGAGGGUGCAAGCGUUAUCCGGAUUUAUUGGGUUUAAAGGGUCCGUAGGCGGAUCUGUAAGUCAGUGGUGAAAUCUCACAGCUUAACUGUGAAACUGCCAUUGAUACUGCAGGUCUUGAGUAAAUUUGAAGUGGCUGGAAUAAGUAGUGUAGCGGUGAAAUGCAUAGAUAUUACUUAGAACACCAAUUGCGAAGGCAGGUCACUAAGAUUUAACUGACGCUGAUGGACGAAAGCGUGGGGAGCGAACAGGAUUAGAUACCCGAGUAGUCCCUGUCUCUUAUAC
rnacentral:rRNA from 1 species